CACAGAUCUGAAAUGCUACCUUCAUUUCUCUCCCAGCAGUUGGCAUCACUUUAAGAUAGAAGUACAAAGAUGAGAUGUGGAAGAGCACAGAUCUGAAAUGCUACCUUCAUUUCUCUCCCAGCAGUUGGCAUCACUUUAAGAUAGAAGUACAAAGAUGAGAUGUGGAAGAGCACAGAUCUGAAAUGCUACCUUCAUUUCUCUCCCAGCAGUUGGCAUCACUUUAAGAUAGAAGUACAAAGAUGAGAUGUGGAAGAGCACAGAUCUGAAAUGCUACCUUCAUUUCUCUCCCAGCAGUUGGCAUCACUUUAAGAUAGAAGUACAAAGAUGAGAUGUGGAAGAGCACAGAUCUGAAAUGCUACCUUCAUUUCUCUCCCAGCAGUUGGCAUCACUUUAAGAUAGAAGUACAAAGAUGAGAUGUGGAAGAGCACAGAUCUGAAAUGCUACCUUCAUUUCUCUCCCAGCAGUUGGCAUCACUUUAAGAUAGAAGUACAAAGAUGAGAUGUGGAAGAGCACAGAUCUGAAAUGCUACCUUCAUUUCUCUCCCAGCAGUUGGCAUCACUUUAAGAUAGAAGUACAAAGAUGAGAUGGAAGCAGGCAGGAGCUGCAAAUAGUGAAGAAUGCAAAUAAUACAUUGGCCUUCACAGUGAAAGCACAGGAGCAGGGAUAGCUUUCUAUAAGGCCUUUGGUGAGACCACACUUUGAGCACUGUGUAUACCUAUGUUCUCCUUUCCCAAGGAAGGGUGCCCCAGCUAUUGAGAGAGAGUAAAGGAGGUUCACCAGACUAAGUCCUGGGAUGUCAGGACUGAUGUAUGAAGAGAGACUCGAUCCUCAUUUAAUCCUCCUUUCUUUAGUCUUGGAAGUGCUGACUACAUCAGUAAUGAAUGAUCCAACUCCCAUUUUCUGAUCUGAAUCUGACCCAUCUAAGCCUACACUUUGGUUCCCAUCCCCCGCCAUAUUAGUUUAAAACCUCACCAACAAAACUGGC